rnacentral:rRNA from 1 species
CAGCAGCCGCGGGAAUACGGAGGGCGCGAGCGUUACCCGGAUUUACUGGGCGUAAAGGGCGUGUAGGCGGCCUGGGGCGUCCCAUGUGAAAGGCCACGGCUCAACCGUGGAGGAGCGUGGGAUACGCUCAGGCUAGAGGGUGGGAGAGGGUGGUGGAAUUCCCGGAGUAGCGGUGAAAUGCGCAGAUACCGGGAGGAACGCCGAUGGCGAAGGCAGCCACCUGGUCCACUUCUGACGCUGAGGCGCGAAAGCGUGGGGAGCAAACCGGAUUAGAUACCCGCGUAGUCCCUGUCUCUUAUAC